GAGAAGAAGAAAAAAGAAAUGGCAGACUAUGCAGACUAAGCACAUUUCAGCAGAAGUAGAGAAGUUACUACGCAUAAGUGCUGCUGUGAUAUGAAAGAAAUCAGUUUAUUUUGAACUGGAUAAUGUACAUUCUGUUCUGAGAGUUCUCCGGUUGGUUUUUUUUGGGACGACCGAUACCUGAACGAGCCAGUGGUUCCAGAAGCAGGAGGGUUCCGCCGCCAUCUUUGACUCGGACUGAAGCCUGGAAAGACGGAGGGCCUGGUGCUGCUGGAGCUGGAUGUUUUGUGUGGACAACAGAUAAGCUUAUUGAACGAAAAUCUUUUUUUUUUAUUCCACAAACUAUUUGUUCAUGAACAUUUUCAUAACAGACAACUUAUGUGCACAUUGACUGAACUGACUGACUGAACUGUUAUAUUGAAGGACUAACUGGAAUAUGUAAUUUCUUUUGUUGAAAUAAGCUUUAAAGCUACUGUUU